UGGAGCCUGGAGUAUGCUCUAGACCUCUCAGUGGCCUAUUGAUUUCUAGAGUUUCUUCUUCAAUAUCAUCCUCAUCAUCAUCUGGAACGUCUGUUUCCAAGUCUGAAAUAAGGUUUCCAGAUACAUAUCCUAGGGGUGGAACUGGAGCCUGAGGAGGUUGUGUAUUGCUUUGGAUGUGCCAUGUCUGCUUUGCUAUAUCAAACUGGUAGGCC
rnacentral:lncRNA from 1 species